rnacentral:pre_miRNA from 1 species
CUUGUACUCCCUCCGUCCGAAAAUACUUGUCAUUGAAAUGGAUGUAUCUAGAUGUAUUUUAGUUCUAGACACAUCCAUUUUGAUGACAAGUAACUCCGGACGGAGGGAGUACUUG